AUCAGGGAAGGUUCCUGAGGGCCCGCUGUCCCUCAGGGCCUGAAGAAAAUCCAUUCUCCGCGUGCUUGCGUUGGAGAACACAGUGGCCCCCACCGCCCGCCCUGAGACCUCCGCAGGGUCCUGAUCCAGAACUUGACGACCGGACGCCAUCUCAUCUCUCCCCACAGAACCCCUGUCAGCCUGCCGGGGGACGCGGUGCCCGCCCUCCGGCAUCCGGGAAACACAGCGUCCCAGCCGGCGCCUGCGCAGGUGCCACACUUCCUGGUCCUCUCUGGCUGCGUCUGAGGGCCUUGGCUCUGGCCAGGGGCGCUGCAACGGGCUCAGCCUUCUAGGGGUGGCGGGUGAAGGCCUACACCUGCCCCAGGACGGCCAGGUCCACCAGCACCUGCAACAGACGGAGAAUUGAAGGAGCAUCUUGAAGCUGUGGCUGUCUUGAAGGUGUCGCCGCUUGUCCUCACGAGCACCAUUUUGAUUCUCGUGCCCUGUGUGCAUGGGUGGCCAGCGUUGCUGGUAGGGCUCCUACACGCUCAGAGUGGCCUUGGCCAGGAAGUCCAGGGUUUCCGCAGGCAGAGUGGAUGAACAAGGUACUGAGAAGAUCACAUACUGCAUGUGCUCCUAAAACCUGGUCCUGGCAUAACCUUCUAAGCUGUUUUAUUCAGGUGGUUAUGGAUUUUGUAUUUGCCCAUGUUUAAUGAGCUUUACAACACUUCCAUCAGAGAACAUUACAAUAAAUCAUGCCAUUCACACAAGUUCUUACACGGAUUUAAUUGCAUCUUUGAAAGGUUUGGCAGAUACAUCAAGCCAGUUCAUUAAUGCACAGAUGAUUUCUUCACAUUAAGAAAGACACGUUGGAGCACCAUAAAUGUCAAGGCAGUUAUUACGCACAAAAAGCAUAAAAUGGCAACCAUCAAAAGAAUAACCAGCAAUGUUCCGGAAAUUAUCUGCUCUCUCUCCCUGGUCUCAACUUGCAGAAGAUGGGAAGCAGAGCUCCCAGCCUGCCCAAGAUGAACAUGUGGUAUAGACAAGAAAUACACCUCUGUUCUUUUAAGCUUCUGAGAUUUUGUAUAUGUUUGUUUCUUACCAAACCACAUAUCCAAAGUUACUAACUGAUGCAAUUUGUAUUUGGAAAUAAACUCAUUUACAACUACUUUUAUUCUAAAUGAUUUCUAAAAUGUCCACUUUAUUAAUUUUGAUAUAUCCAACAUACAAUCUAGAUACCAAGUUUGAAUCAUUUUUAUUUUGUCAAAUAACACAUAUAUUUUAUAAAUUGCAUACAAAAACUGUAGCAAUCUUAUUUUGUUGGGAUGAUCAGACCCAACACCAGGCUCUGGGGGCUACGAAGUAUGGUGGAGUCAAGGGAAUGAGAAAAGACAAGUUUAAGAGUGCAUGAAGUGGAACCAGGGGGCCAACGCUAGUAUGGAGGCUGCGAAGGCCCUGAGCUCUGGAAGCCCGCACUAUUUAUUGGUGAUCAAACAAAGAAGCAGGUGGUGAGGAAGUGGGGGUUGAAAGAAACUGGUGUGUCAAGUGCAUGAUCUACAGCUGUGACGGUUUAGCAUUUUCUUUGAAGCAUAUGGAACAUGUUCUGCUACUUGAGAUAAUGGGAAACAUGUUCUUCUAGUUUAAGAUACAAUCAAUCUAUGAGACUGUGAGUGCUAGAAGCAAAGAGCCAGCAAGUCUAGACAUAUUCCAAAGGCCACGAGAAGUUUUAGACCCCAGACCCCUGACAUGUUCCAAGACUCUUUUACAUUAAGUCAGACAUACAAGCCCUGCCUCAGCUUUUUUCCCAACACUCAGCUUUUCCCCAGGAUGCCCCUUUUUCUUUUUUGUAAAACCGCCACAGCUGUCGUUGCUUGUUCUCAAUGGUGGCUUUCUCUCCAGAGGUGGCUUCCACAUCUGCAGACUAAAAGGAGACAGUACAAGCACAUAAUUAUUAGAACAAAAUUUGCAAGUGUAGAGCUUCCAAUGGCCUUAAUCCAUUUCAGAGGACUGAUUGCAGACAACCCAUUGGUUGCCUUGUUCAAAAGACCAGUUCCAGGGGGGAGGGCUUUUUUCCCAACUCUCAGCUUUUCCCACAACAUAUUUUUUUUGUUGUUGUUAUUUACCUCAAAAAUAUAUUUUUCUGAUUCUCCCUUAGAAAAUCAGAUCAUAUUGAGAAUAUAAAAACAUUAUUUUUUAUAGUCAUUUUAAGUUUUAUAAUUAUUUGAACAUUUAUAAAUAAGAAAUAAAUCAAAAUUAACAAGAAGCUAACCACUAGUUUUAGAAAAUGUUGAAUUUGAUAUUUGUUUAUAGUUUGAGGCAGAGAGAGGUCUAUUGUUAUUAAUACUAUUUAUUUUCUCUGGAACAAAUAAUUUUGAAUCAAGACUUUAAAUCGUGUCUGAAUAAGAAAAUACUAAAUACUGAGAUUGUAUUAUUAAUGAAAUAUUCAAAAAUAGUUGGAGUAAGUGUUAACUACAAUAUAAACAGUAUUGAGGGAUUAUAAAUAUAAAAUUAAAAUUACAUUUAAAGUCAACCUCUGAAAGCAAUUACAACCAAAGUAUUUAUACUUAUGUCUAUAAAUCACAUAAUUUAUUUGCUGACAAAGAGAAUCAUGAUUAUAAAACAAGUAAAAAGAAUGCUAUUUUUCAUUUACUUCUGUGGAAACCACACACACAAACACAUUAUACUUAGAAGUAAUAUGUAACAAACCUGCAUGUUGUGCACAUGUACUGUAAAACUUAAAGUAU